GAACGCACCUUGCGCCCUUUGGCUAUUCCGAAGGGCAUGCCUGUUUGAGUAUCAUGAACACCUCAACUCUCAUGGUUUGCCAUGAUGAGCUUGGACUUUGGGGGUCUUGCUGGCCUAUGGGUCAGCUCCUCUCAAAUGAAUCAGCUUGCCAGUGUUUGGUGGCAUCACAGGUGUGAUAACUAUCUACGCUUGUGGUUUUCCAUCAGGUAACCUUCAGUGAUGGAGGUUCGCUGGGGCUCAUAAAUGUCUCUCCUCGGUGAGGACAGCUUUUUGAACGUUUGAUCUCAAAUCAGGUAGGACUACCCGCUGAACUUA
rnacentral:misc_RNA from 1 species